rnacentral:rRNA from 1 species
ACAUCGCCUCUUGUCCCCUAAAAAUAAGAGGUCCCGCCUGCCCUGUGACUAUAAGUUUAACGGCCGCGGUAUUUUGACCGUGCAAAGGUAGCGCAAUCACUUGUCUUUUAAAUGAAGACCUGUAUGAAUGGCACAACGAGGGCUUGACUGUCUCCUUUUUCCAGUCAAUGAAAUUGAUCUCCCCGUGCAGAAGCGGGGAUACUAACAUAAGACGAGAAGACCCUAUGGAGCUUUAGGCGCCAGAACAGACCAUGUCAAACAUCCCUCAACAAAGGAUAAAACUAAUUGACCCCUGUUCCAAUGCCUUUGGUUGGGGCGACCGCGGAGAAACAAAAAACCUCCAUGUGGACCGGGAGCACACUCCUCCUACAGCCCAGAGUCACAACUCCAAGAAACAGAAUCUCUGACCAACAAGAUCCGGCAUUAAAGCCGAUCAACGGACCAAGUUACCCUAGGGAUAACAGCGCAAUCCUCUUUUAGAGCCCAUAUCGACAAGAGGGUUUACGACCUCGAUGUUGGAUCAGGACAUCCUAAUGGU